rnacentral:rRNA from 1 species
GUGAGUAACACGUGGGCAAUCUGCCCUUCACUCUGGGACAAGCCCUGGAAACGGGGUCUAAUACCGGAUACUGACCCUCGCAGGCAUCUGCGAGGUUCGAAAGCUCCGGCGGUGAAGGAUGAGCCCGCGGCCUAUCAGCUUGUUGGUGAGGUAAUGGCUCACCAAGGCGACGACGGGUAGCCGGCCUGAGAGGGCGACCGGCCACACUGGGACUGAGACACGGCCCAGACUCCUACGGGAGGCAGCAGUGGGGAAUAUUGCACAAUGGGCGAAAGCCUGAUGCAGCGACGCCGCGUGAGGGAUGACGGCCUUCGGGUUGUAAACCUCUUUCAGCAGGGAAGAAGCGAAAGUGACGGUACCUGCAGAAGAAGCGCCGGCUAACUACGUGCCAGCAGCCGCGGUAAUACGUAGGGCGCAAGCGUUGUCCGGAAUUAUUGGGCGUAAAGAGCUCGUAGGCGGCUUGUCACGUCGGUUGUGAAAGCCCGGGGCUUAACCCCGGGUCUGCAGUCGAUACGGGCAGGCUAGAGUUCGGUAGGGGAGAUCGGAAUUCCUGGUGUAGCGGUGAAAUGCGCAGAUAUCAGGAGGAACACCGGUGGCGAAGGCGGAUCUCUGGGCCGAUACUGACGCUGAGGAGCGAAAGCGUGGGGAGCGAACAGGAUUAGAUACCCUGGUAGUCCACGCCGUAAACGGUGGGCACUAGGUGUGGGCAACAUUCCACGUUGUCCGUGCCGCAGCUAACGCAUUAAGUGCCCCGCCUGGGGAGUACGGCCGCAAGGCUAAAACUCAAAGGAAUUGACGGGGGCCCGCACAACCGGCGGAGCAUGUGGCUUAAUUCGACCCAACCCAAAGAACCUUACCAAGGCUUGACAUACACCGGAAAGCAUCAGAAAUGGUGCCCCCCUUGUGGCCGGUGUACAGGGGGGGCAUGGCUGGCCUCAGCUCGUGUCGUGAGAUGUUGGGUUAAGUCCCGCAACGAGCGCAACCCUUGUCCCGUGUUGCCAGCAAGCCCUUCGGGGUGUUGGGGACUCACGGGAGACCGCCGGGGUCAACUCGGAGGAAGGUGGGGACGACGUCAAGUCAUCAUGCCCCUUAUGUCUUGGGCUGCACACGUGCUACAAUGGCCGGUACAAUGAGCUGCGAUACCGCAAGGUGGAGCGAAUCUCAAAAAGCCGGUCUCAGUUCGGAUUGGGGUCUGCAACUCGACCCCAUGAAGUCGGAGUCGCUAGUAAUCGCAGAUCAGCAUUGCUGCGGUGAAUACGUUCCCGGGCCUUGUACACACCGCCCGUCACGUCACGA